rfam:Colius striatus contig88342, whole genome shotgun sequence.
GUGCUUGCUUCGGCAGCACAUAUACUAAAAUUGGAAUGGUAUAGAGAAGAUUAGCAUGGCCCCUGCACAAGAACGACAUGCAAAUUCAUGAAACGUUCCAUAUUUUG